rnacentral:rRNA from 1 species
UACAGAGGUCCCAAGCGUUGUUCGGAUUCACUGGGCGUAAAGGGUGCGUAGGCGGUCGGGUAAGUCUGAUGCGAAAUCUCCAAGCUCAACUUGGAAAUGGCAUCGGAUACUAUUCGGCUCGAGGAAUGGAGGGGAGACUGGAAUACUUGGUGUAGCGGUGAAAUGCGCAGAUAUCAGGAGGAACACCAAUUGCGAAGGCAGCUCGCUGGGACGUUACUGACGCUGAGACGCGAAAGCGUGGGGAGCAAACAGG